CUAACUGCCACCAAGGCUUCACCCCGGCCCAAGCUUACCCCAAACCCAGACACUUGGGAUUAUAUAGAGAUUCAAGAGCAGUCAAGGAUGCCAGGGAAUCCAGUCAGGCAUGUCUCCCCUCCCCAUUUUGCUUUUAUUUAUGUUCACAGAACCAACGGGUUAAAAAAAAAACGCUGAGUUUCUGGAUCCAGUUCCGGCUUUUUGAAGGAUACCCUCAUCCCCUGAUUCUGCUCACGACACAAUGCCCACAGGGUUCAGGAGCAACCACAGGUAUCCCCAAAGAUCCUGACCUGAGAAUAAAUACCUCCACAAUACUAAACCAGUUUCAGAGUGCCGGUCCUCGAACACUACCUUCUGGAGGAAUCUGCCUCAUUGACAGGUGCUGCGGUCCUCAUCCGUCAUUUCUUUACCAUCUGACUCUGACCACAGGUAAUUGGGCCAGAAGUGACAUUUGACCUACUGGGGAGACCAUCCAUAAACCGUCCAGCAACCUCUAUCUUAUAUGAUCUGGCUUUAAAAAAUGAGCCAGACCAGUCUGGUUCCUCUCUUGAGAAUUCAAACUAAAAGCCUGCCAAGGAAAUUGUCAGAUGGCGGCGGGAGCGGCACUACCAUUGAAAAUCCAAACCGAACUGAGACGAGGGUGGCCAUUACGGCCCAUGUGCAAGGCAAAUGCAGAUCUACACCAGGGCUGGAAGUGUGGCCAGUGAGGAUGAUCUGAAUUUGAGCCCUGCUCCCCCUGGGCUGGAUGCCUUUUUGCAGUGGACUGCCUGCCAGAUGGUAUGUGGCUACUCUGUCCUCUAGGUUCUAGAACUUCCCUUCAAGCUGGUAGGAAUGGGCCAUCUUCAGUGAUACGAUGGGAUAUAAUAGGAGCACAUCCAGGCCAAGCAUUCCAUCAUGAACACCCAGGCUAAAGACAUAUUGAGAUUUCCUCUUAUCAUCACAAAGAGUAAGCC
rnacentral:lncRNA from 1 species